GUCCACGCUGUAAACGAUGGGUGCUAGCUGUGGUGGGUGUUGACCCCUGCCGUGGCGCAGCUAACGCAAUAAGCACCCCGCCUGGGAAGUACGGCCGCAAGGCUAAAAACUCAAAGGAAUUGACGGGGGCCCCGCACAAGCGGUGGAGCAUGUGGUUUAAUUCGACGCAACGCGCAGAACCUUACCUGGUCUUGACAUCCUCGGAAUUCCCCAGAGAUGGGGAAGUGCUCUUCGGAGAGCCGAGAGACAGGUGCUGCAUUGCUGUCGU
rnacentral:rRNA from 1 species